rnacentral:rRNA from 1 species
AGUAACACGUGGAUAAUCUACCCGACAGUCAGGGAUAACAUUUCGAAAGGAAUGCUAAUACCUGAUAAGCUACGCCCUCUUCGGAGGAAGUAGGAAAAGGUGGGGACCUUCGGGCCUGCCGUUGUUGGAUGAGUCCGCGGCCCAUUAGCUAGUUGGUAGGGUAAUGGCCUACCAAGGCUACGAUGGGUAGCUGGUCUGAGAGGAUGAUCAGCCACACUGGAACUGAGACACGGUCCAG